rnacentral:lncRNA from 1 species
AUGGGAAGGGCCUCUUCUUGUUCAUGGCCCAUCUUAGCAUGUCACUUCUGCUGGAUGCUGUUUGUUCUGGGACCUUAUUAUAUUUCUGAUACAUCUUCAGUACAGUCAGGCAUGACCAUAGGAUGUAUUUAAGCUUUUUCUAUUAAACUCUUGGCCUCUUCCUGCUAGGUUAGGAGCUCAAUGAAGUUCCAUAUGGGAGCCCUGUAUGUGGAUCUUCCCAGGUCCCCAUGGCCUUUUGACUAUUUCUUAUUCUGGACAAAUCAGUAUUGACAAUAUAGGAUAAAAGUGUUUAAUAUAUUGAGAUCCAGAGUUUGGUUUUGGUUGUAAGAAACACAACCCUUUUAGUGGUCUGGUCUAAAGUUUUGACACUAUGUGGUUAUAGCAACCUCCUUCACCUGUGGUUAUGGCAAUGUCCACCACUCUGGUCAUAGCGAUCUCCAGAGGUUCAUUUAUCCUGAGGUUAAACAUUAGAUUUGAACACUAAUCUGUUGGUUGCAAGCUGUGACCAAUAAGAUAGUCUACAUCGUCUUGAAUUCCUCAUUCUACAGUCCUAUUAGAGGACUGCAUCCUUUGAGUAUUUUACAGAAUUUGGUAGGAUUACAAACUAUCCAACAGGAAUGCAUGGUAAGUUCACUUUACUGCAGUAAUACUGCCCUCAAAGUGUCUUGGCAUGUGCCUUACAAGGCAGUGUCUGAUGUUCACUUUUGUUCUAGGCUUAGCAAAACUCCUAAACAAGCAAGCACAAGGAAUUCAUGGCUUCUUCAGUUAUUCCAUUUACAAUCAUGACAGUAACUAAGAUGAUUCAUACCCUACUAGAAUUCUGAAACAUACAGCCCUUUAAAACACUGUAAUACAUCAGGAGAAGCCCCUACAUGUGUGUUUUCUGGUGUGGGGAAGAGUUGGUUUUACAUGUCAAAAAGACUUCCAGUUGGGUAAGGUGCUUGUUUGAGAAGACUCUGCUUCAACUCCACACAGUCACUUGUAUUGCUUUGGGUAAUGACAUCAGACCAUGCUCUAUUGUCAGCAUGUUGCUUUCAUUUGCUUGGGCACUCUGCAUUUUCUCUUAGUUUUAGUGGGGUUAUAACUCAGAUUAGUAGGAUUAAAACAUCACAGCACGUCUCUGGCCUGAGAGAUGCAGGGAAGUAUUGGAUAGCCUCAGUGAACCCAAGAAUGAAGCACAUACUUUAUGCAAUGUACCAAGAAGCACCCUUUGAAGGGCUUGUGGUCUAAAUUCAUAUUCUCAUGGCCAUAAAAACUAACUAACUAACUAACUAACUAACUAACUAACCACAACUUGCAUAAGCUUGAGACCCGGAGCUAUUUAGCAGACACUAUCAGAGAUCUAAGUACAUUUUAGUAGAUGCAAGGAUGUUUAAUGAAUGGUUGUGUUUAAUGAAUGAAUGUUCUGGUGCCACUUCCAACCUCAGUAGGGCUGGCAGCCUUCAUGCAGGAGGAGAACAAAAGGACAAUUUCUAGGCAGAGAAAGACUUCAAAGGGGACCAAGUCAGGAUAUGCUGGCCAAAUAUUUUGGCAGUGGCAUCUCAGUAACUCUCUUCAGGCUUCCUGGGCACCAAGACUUCAUGAGGGGCAUGGGGCUCCAAUACUCGGGCAACUAUCUCUGUCUUUCUGCACAAACCUGGCCAGAUGAGGGUUCUGUUUCCUUUAUAUGUGGUUGUUGGCCAGACCACAUUGUUUUCUAUCUAGACUGGGAGGUCACAGUGACACAGUUCAGGCAGGCUUGUGACAAGGCCCUGGAGGAUCAGACAGGAAGUGGUGAAGCCUACUGUUGCUGUGGGGCCCUAGAGAAAUGGAUGGAGAGAUAGAGAAAGACUGGAAGAAAAACCCGGGUGCUAUUGGGAAUCUGGGAAACUGCUGAAAUAUCCCUGAACCCUGCCAGGUCAGGGGUUGGAGGGUGGAUUGAAUAAGACAUGUAGAAGGUCUGUCUUUAAGAAUUUCACCUGGAUGAUACUGCCAGGAAACAGGCCUUAUCUAUAUUUUGUAUGUUGUCUACCCACAAUGUCACAACUAAAUUGUGAAGUGCUAUUUACAUGCUUAUUAAACAAUCUUGAAAC